rnacentral:rRNA from 1 species
GAUGAACGCUAGCGGCAGGCUUAACACAUGCAAGUCGAGGGGUAACAGGGAGCUUGCUCUGCUGACGACCGGCGCACGGGUGCGUAACGCGUAUGCAACCUACCUUCUACAGGGGGAUAGUCAAUAGAAAUGUUGAAUAAUACCCCAUACGAUCUUUGAGUGGCAUUACUUAAAGAGGAAAGCUUCGGCGGUAGAAGAUGGGCAUGCGUCCUAUUAGUUAGUUGGUGAGGUAACGGCUCACCAAGACCGCGAUAGGUAGGGGCCCUGAGAGGGGGAUCCCCCACACUGGUACUGAGACACGGACCAG